AGGUUAUGAUGUGGACAUUUCCUCAACAAAUCUUUAAAUCUCUCCCAUGACUUAAAUAAGGAUUCAGUGUCCAACUGUGCAUAAGUUGUUAUCUAUAGACGCAACUU